CCUACGGGAGGCAGCAGUGGGGGAUAUUGCACCAUGGGGGAAACCCUGAUGCAGCGACGCCGCGUGUGGGAAGACGGUCCUCUGGAUUGUAAACCACUGUCCCCAGGGACGAAGAUGACGGUACCUGGGGAGGAAGCUCCGGCUAACUACGUGCCAGCAGCCGCGGUAAUACGGAGGGAGCGAGCGUUGUCCGGAAUUACUGGGUGUAAAGGGAGCGUAGGCGGGACUGCAAGUUGGGUGUCAAAUCUACCGGCUCAACCGGUAGCCGCACUCAAAACUGCAGUGCUGGAGUGAAGUAGAGGCAGGCGGAAUGCCUAGUGUAGCGGUGAAAUGCGUAGAUAUUAGGCGGAACACCAGUGGCGAAGGCGGCCUGCUGGGCUUGUACUGACGCUGAGGCUCGAAAGUGUGGGGAGCAAACAGGAUUAGAUACCCUUGUAGUC
rnacentral:rRNA from 1 species